rnacentral:snRNA from 1 species
GUCUGGCAGCACAUAUACUGAAAUUGGAAUGAUAUAGAGAUGAUUAGCAUGACCCCUCUGCAAGGAUGCCAUGCAAAUUCAUGAAGUGUUCCAUAUUGUU